CUCAUAUGUUACUAAAUUGGAGAUCCUAAGAUUUAAGGAUUGUAACUUUUGUAUUUAAGGUUUUCUAAUUUGUGUUUUAAAUGGACAAGUUUCAAGAUACACAAAAAAUAUUUAUCGAAAAAUCUAUAUUCAUAAUCUGUCAAAGUUUUUUUUUAAUGUCAAGACAAUACUUAAGUACAGCUUUGUUAUGAAAGUUUUUGUAUUUAGUCAAAGUAUUUCAAAAAAAUUUUGAAAAAAAUGAUAACGUUGUGCUCAAAUCUAGGAAAUAAUACUAAGUAGAUUUAAAGUAUCCUAACAAUCACUUUUAUAAGACCUUUGAAAUUCAAUGCGCGAAGACCAGUAACAAUAGAGCUGAAACUGCAGCUGCUUUUUCCCACAGUGUCCAGCAAGAUGUUUCAUUAAGCCCAUAGAGAGAACUUGUUCCUGGUCGGUUCAGCACUUGUUCGCCUGCCCGCGAACCUAUAGUCACCGACCGAUCCGAUCCGAUCCAAGCCGAGCCGAUCCAUUCAUUUCCGCUUUGGCCGGAGCUUGUUGUUGCUUCGUGGCAGCGGCAGCCGCAGCAGCGGCGGCAGAACAACAACUCCGCCAAAAAGGCGACCAUUCGGAACCGCCGGGCGAAAAACUAUUGCACCUUAUUGCCUUGAAAAGCGAGCAUAACCAAGAGCCACAAACAAAGGCGAUCCGUACGCGGCGAAUUCAAAGUUGGCGGAUCGGAUCGUUUCGCCGCGAAAAAAUAAGACCCUAAAAGAGAGUUCUCAUUCACUUCCUACUCUCGGCGAAAACUUGAGACCCAGCUGACUGCCAAGACGACAAGUUUUCAAAACGAAACUGUGGACAGGCGGAACCCGCUAUGAAGGACACACGCAAUUCCAGGGGAAACUAUUUCAACUAAGAGAUAUAUUUAAAAGUGACACAUAAAGAACUCCUAAAUCAGAAAUGUUUAAGGUAUCCCUUUGAUAUGAUAUGAUGUAAUCAAAUAUAUAUUUUCAAUAAUAUUCUAUGAUCGGAAAAAUAUAAAAAUACAGUUGCAAAUCUUA